UGGGGAAUAUUGGGCAAUGGGCGCAAGCCUGACCCAGCAACGCCGCGUGAAGGAAGAAGGCUUUCGGGUUGUAAACUUCUUUUGACAGGGAAGAGCAGAAGACGGUACCUGUCGAAUAAGCCACGGCUAACUACGUGCCAGCAGCCGCGGUAAUACGUAGGUGGCAAGCGUUGUCCGGAUUUACUGGGUGUAAAGGGCGUGUAGCCGGGCUUACAAGUCAGAUGUGAAAUCCGGGGGCUCAACCCCCGAACUGCAUUUGAAACUGUAGGUCUUGAGUAUCGGAGAGGCAGGCGGAAUUCCUAGUGUAGCGGUGAAAUGCGUAGAUAUUAGGAGGAACACCAGUGGCGAAGGCGGCCUGCUGGACGACAACUGACGGUGAGGCGCGAAAGCGUGGGGAGCA
rnacentral:rRNA from 1 species